UCUCUGGGUUUUGAGGAUCAGCUGUACCCCAGGCACUUUACAGAUGUCAUUGAUAACGUCUGCAUUAUUCCAGGUUUUACAGAUUAGGAGAUGGAGCCUCAGAGAAGUUCUAAGAAGUGACAGAGCCCAGACUGGAACCCCAAACCAUGGGACCCCCAAAUCUCGGCUUUGCCCACCUUUCUUUCUCCGGGCCCACAGGGAGCUGUGGGAGUCUUUUCAGGGAACAACGUCUUCAGGUGCACGUUUCAGAUGGAUCUCUGCUGCCCACCGCGUGGGGUGCAGUCAGUCUGGAGCCGGGGGACCAGGAGCGUGCUCAGAUCUCUGCACAGAGACGACGGAGGCCGGGACCAAGCUGUUCUGGUGGGGAGGAAAGAGGACCAGCGCGGCUGCCUGGGCCUCGGUCUCGCUCUCCUGGGGUGGAGACAGCACCCUCUGCUGAGACGGUGAGAAGCCAGCGCUCCGGAGGCUGCUGAGCGCUUGAGCAGCCACCUGUGCAGGCGGGGCUGAUGUGGCCUGACCACAGCACCCCACCAGGCCUGGACCCUGCCCAGCCCAACCGCCCACGUGGUGUCAUUAGCUCUGCUGACGCUGCGACGUGGAGCCACGGAUGUCCCAGAGCCCAGGAGAGGGCAGGGAAGGAAUGAAUAAGGAAGGAAAGCCUUGGAUCUUGGCGCACCCAGCUGGAGGAUGGAGGGGCUGGCCUGAUGGUCUCCAGGAGCCGUUCCAGCUUGACAGCGAGGAUUCUGGAGGGCAGAGGGGCUCUCCCCGUGGGGCUCAGGAGAGCGGGCUUUGGAGAAGGCCACGGGGCGGGGGUCUAGGAGCUGAGCUCUGCGCACUCCUCAGCCCUCCCGCCCUCUAAGGCUGGCCCUGUAAGCUCGGGCACACACUCUGUGUGUGUGCAUGUUGAGGGGCACCCCACCAGAGAGGGAGAGCCCGCAGCUGGAGUCAGCAACCAUGGCAACCGUCCAGAACCCACUCUGACUGGCCACAAGGUCUGAGACUGGCGGGUUCCACGCCCUGGAGGUGCCAAGACUCACCUGGGCCCAGUUGACGUUCAUCCCUAUUGCUUCACACUUGGAAGCUCCACACCUGUUAUCUACCCGACCCCUGAAGGCUUUUGAGUUUGGGAACUCAGAGCUGAACAACUCUACUUUGUAAACAGGGAGAUUGUGCAGGCAGAAUGGAACCCUGGGCUAUCUGAGGUCGGAAGAGUCCUUGAGAUCCCCAAGGUCUCAUUUUCAGAUUUCUGCUCCAGUGCCAUUUCCUCGGAGUGGCCUUCCCUGAUCACACUGCUCCCAGCGGCACCCGUCCGCUCUGCCUGGGGCCCUCUGCUGUGCGUUCUCGCCUCCUCCCGACACCCCAGCCUCCGGCCCCCCGUUUACUCCUGCAGCUGCUCUCUGUGCCCUGAGGACCGGGGCUCGGCCGGUCUUUCUCACUGAUGAGUAAUGCCUGGCACAUGUCAAGCCCCUCAAAACUGUCGAAGAGCAGGGAAAAUGAGGUCCUGGGUGUGAGCUCCGCCCCCAGACCUCUUCCCUGCCUCAGCUUCCCUGGGCUGUUCCGGGGACAUCCUGGAGCCGUGCUGUUGUUCCCAGGUCGCCCAGCGGUCCCCAGGCCUCCUCCCCUGCUGGGCGUCGUGUGUGAGGCGAGCCCAGCUGUGUCCU